rnacentral:rRNA from 1 species
UCGACCUCAGAUCAGGUAGGAAUACCCGCUGAACUUAAGCAUAUCAAUAAGCGGAGGAAAAGAAACCAACAGGGAUUGCCUCAGUAGCGGCGAGUGAAGCGGCAAGAGCUCAGAUUUGAAAUCUCACCUAGUGUGCGAGUUGUAAAUUGCAGGUUGGAGUCUCGGGUUAGACGUGUGUGCAAGUCCCUUGGAACAGGGUGCCACUGAGGGUGAGAGCCCCGUAKCGUGCAUGUCGACACCUGUGAGGCCCUUCUGACGAGUCGAGUUGUUUGGGAAUGCAGCUCUAAGUGGGUGGUAAAUUCCAUCUAAGGCUAAAUAUUGGCGAGAGACCGAUAGCGAACAAGUACUGUGAAGGAAAGAUGAAAAGCACUUUGAAAAGAGAGUGAAACAGCACGUGAAAUUGUUGAAAGGGAAGGGUAUUGGGCUCGACAUGGGAUUUACGCAUCGUUGCCUCUCGUGGGCGGCGCUCUGGGUUUUUCCUGGGCCAGCAUCGGUUUUCGUUGCAGGAUAAGGACAAUUGGAAUGUGGCUCCUCGGAGUGUUAUAGCCUUUUGUAGAUGCUGCGUAUGGGGACCGAGGGCUGCGGCGGACUCG